ACUAAAUCCACGUGCUUAAGGGUAAGGAGCAUUUCCGAAUGAAGCUGAAAAAUGUCAAGACUGGCACAGGAACCAGAGAAAUGCUGACUAUGUAUGAUACUUCCAGCGGGCAGGCUCAUGAUACAGUGAUCACUGAGAAGUGACGUGCUGUAUAUUCCCUCAGAUGUUUAAAUGGAACAUGAAAGAGAAAAACAGCAGCCUAUUCCAUCUUUCAGAAACACUACCAUCCACUGAAACCAGGACCACAGAGAAGGGAUUCCACAAAAGUGGGAAUUUCAUCUAGCCAAACUCUGAUCCAAGAGAACCCAUCACCUUCACAUCCACAUCCAGCUUGAUGGAUUCCUAUACUCAGUGAGUGCUGUUUCUGGGGGUCUAGUAUUAAGGUGAAAGGAUAUGGGCAUGGCUUUCUUCUGGAUCCAUCAA